AACGUAGGAGACAAACGUUAUCCGGAGUUACUGGGCGUAAAGGGCGCGUAGGCGGCCACCGCAAGUCGACUGUGAAAUCUCCGGGCUUAACCCGGAAAGGUCAGCCGAUACUGCGGGGCUAGAGUGCAGAAGGGGCAACUGGAAUUCUCGGUGUAGCGGUGAAAUGCGUAGAUAUCUGGAGGAACACCGGUGGCGAAGGCGGCGUUCUGGGACGAUGACUGACGCUGAGACGCGAAAGCGUGGGGGAGCAAACAGG
rnacentral:rRNA from 1 species